rnacentral:rRNA from 1 species
CAGUCGCCGCGGUAAUACGAAGGGGGCUAGCGUUGCUCGGAAUGACUGGGCGUAAAGGGCGCGUAGGCGGAUUGUUUAGUUAGGCGUGAAAUUCCUGGGCUUAACCUGGGGACUGCGCUUAAUACAGGCAGUCUAGAGUGAGGAAGAGGGUUGUGGAAUUCCCAGUGUAGAGGUGAAAUUCGUAGAUAUUGGGAAGAACACCGGUGGCGAAGGCGGCAACCUGGUCCUUGACUGACGCUGAGGCGCGAAAGCGUGGGGAGCAAACAGGAUUAGAUACCCGCGUAGUCCCUGUCUCUUAUAA